ensembl:snRNA U1 U1 spliceosomal RNA
AAUUAUAACUGCUAAAAGAGAUACCAUGAUCACUUUGAUGGCUUCCUCAGAGUGAGGUUUAUCCAUUGCACACUUAAUGUGCUGGCCCUUGCAAUUUCCAAAAAUGUAGGAAAUUCAGUUACACAUUUUGGAGUAGUCAGGGAUCCAUAUUUGUAUUCUCCCAUG